AACGAACGCUGGCGGCAUGCCUAACACAUGCCAGUCGAACGAGACCUUCGGGUCUAGUGGCGCACGGGUGCGUAACGCAUGGGAACCUGCCCUUAGGUUCGGAAUAACUCCCCGAAAGGGGUGCUAAUACCGGAUAAUGUCUUCGGACCAAAGAUUUAUCGCCUUUGGAUGGGCCCGCGUUGGAUUAGCUAGUUGGUAGGGUAAAAGCCUACCAAGGCGACGAUCCAUAGCUGGUCUGAGAGGAUGAUCAGCCACACUGGGACUGAGACACGGCCCAGACUCCUACGGGAGGCAGCAGUGGGGAAUAUUGGACAAUGGGCGAAAGCCUGAUCCAGCAAUGCCGCGUGAGUGAUGAAGGCCUUAGGGUUGUAAAGCUCUUUUACCCGGGAUGAUAAUGACAGUACCGGGAGAAUAAGCGCCGGCUAACUCCGUG
rnacentral:rRNA from 1 species